rnacentral:lncRNA from 1 species
CUUGAAAGAGUAAAUGUAACUAAGAAAACUAGACUUAUCACUUAUCCUCACUGCAUCGAAUUUGCCAAUACAACGUCCACCGGAAUAAUGCAGGCAUGUACAGAGCAAUAUGGAAGUAGCUGAGGAUGUGGAAAGCUGCCAACAGAGGAGGCAUCACUCAACAGUUACAGAUAAUAGGAUUCCUAUCAUGGAUUGGCAUGUUUCAUUUCCGAAUGGCAUCAUCUUUCACAAGUGCUUGAUCGACUAUUAAGAAGACCAAUUCUUAAUCCUAUGAGGCGAUUCCUGAGAUGGCUUGACAUUCAUCUCUCAAUCCAAACUACCAACAGGCUGAACACCACCUGUCUGCUCUUAUAACUUCACCAUUUCUUGCGCUCCCGAGAUGGGAUUAUGGCGGGGACCUAAUACUGUACACAUCAUGCGAUCUCUGUAAUAUGGACAAUUCUAAUGCUCCAAUGACCUAUUCCUACUUUGCACAUUCACAUGCGCAUAUAGCGUAGAGCCUCUGCUGUCUGCAGAGCAGACUCCUAGUCACCAAAUGUAUUCAAUCGACCCGUAAUUGUUGCGAGCUAAUCAUUGAGAUAGUUUUCACACUUGAAGCAAUUGGAGACAAUUCCUACGAACGAAGAGUCUGCAGAUCAGCGGCCAAAUAUAGUGAAACUUCUCUGAUCACUAAACCUCGAGCUACCAACUAGGAACAGGAUGUGUUUGAGUUCUGCUGAAAGAGCUCAAUCACUAUCCUCUCGGUUCGUCAUGGAGCGUGAACGCCACACAAGUGGCUUGAUGGUCCUGCCCAACCGCCGUGAAGCUCUAGGGGUGACAGACUCGCGCUCGUCAUCAGAUGUGGAGUCUAAAAUUUUCAAUGACAAGCUCUUUUUCAAAGAGAAUCUGUCAGUAUCUUGGCUCAUCACAACUCUCCUUGGUUCGAGUCGCCUCCUGGAUUUCCUUGAUGGUGACGACCUUCGUGCGCUGAGACUCCUGCCCCAGUGAAGCGCUCCAUCCACAGGAUAUGGAGCAGAGAUGGAGUAUUCUUCAAUUUUCAAGUC